AAAAGAGAAAAAAAUAGUUCGGCCUCGUUAAUUAUCAUCUCUUACAAAAGAAAAGUCUAUUAUCCAGAAUAGAAUUGGAAGCAUAAUCUCUGUAAAAACAAGUGCAGUAUGUCUCUUCUUUUUCUAUGCUUCUUUAAUUAAUUAACUAGUAUGAUAAUCUGAGAUGCUUUACUUCUGCAGUCAAUGUCAGCGAAGUAGAAGACGUUUCUUGAUCUAUAUAUGAAAUUGAGCUACUCCAACACCAAAGAUGGGAUGAUUCAUAAGGUAUCUCAUCUGAACUCAGAAUGGCCAUCAGAAAGCAAAUAUCUUUUAACCUUAUGUUGUUGUCCCUCGCUUCUACCCAUGAAAUUUUAAGCUAAUUGCCUAAUAGCAGUUGUUACUGAUUUUCAUAGGAUGAAUUCUUACCGGCACUUUUCAAGAACCAUUAGGGGGAAAAUAUGAUUAUCAGAAUAUGUGGGUCGGGUUUAUGUGUUGGGUCGAUUAAUUUUAUUCCUCAAUGUAAACCAAUUGAACAGUGCCAUGUGAAUUUAAAAAAAAAAGCCCCACACAUCCGAUAAAUCAAACGUUACUUCAAGGGGCAAUUUUGAUACCAAAAAAAAUGGUAGUGGCAUUUUUGGACCAAAAAACAGAUGAUGGGCAAUUUUG
rnacentral:lncRNA from 1 species